GGUGUCUGAUGACAUUCGUGAGCUGGUUCGAAUGUUCCAGAGACUAAGUCUGGAGGAGCAAGAAGAAAGAAUGGACAUUGAUGAGAUGGUGUCUGAUGACAUUCGUGAGCUGGUUGGAAUGUUCCAGAGUCUAAGUCUGGAGGAGCAAGAAGAAAGAAUGGAUAUUGAUGAGAAUCCACAUAAUGGCAUUAGAGAGAUCAGUGGAUCCGUCGAGAACCUAACUCUGGAGGAAGAAGAAGAAAUGGAGGUGGAUGAUGAUGCAGAGGAGAUGGAUGUGGAUAUGCAGGAUUAGGACGAGCUGGACACAGUGGUGCAAAUGUGGGACAACCAUCGCAUUCGUCCGGGGAGGAAUGGGCGUGAUCUCUACCAGGGCAAGCCAGUGAUGAUGUACAACAGGGGUCACCAAACUUUUUUCUCUGGGGGCCACAUUGUCGUUCCUGACUGUGAUGGGGGGCCGGGGUCGGGUCAGCUAUAUAAC